GACGAACCGAGCGAACGUUGUUCGGAAUCACUGGGCUUAAAGGGCGCGUAGGCGGGUGCUCAAGUCCGUGGUGAAAUCCUCCGGCUCAACCGGAGAACUGCCUCGGAUACUGGGCGUCUCGAGUGUGGUAGGGGUAUGCGGAACUAUCGGUGGAGCGGUGAAAUGCGUUGAUAUCGAUAGGAACUCCGGUGGCGAAGGCGGCAUACUGGACCACCACUGACGCUGAUGCGCGAAAGCCAGGGAGCAAACGGG
rnacentral:rRNA from 1 species